AAGACUAUAUCUUCAGGCAUCAUUUCUAUAGUUUGUUACUAGAGAAGUUUCUCUGAUUGUGCAGAGCACCCGAAACCAUGAGGAGGAGCCAGAGCGUCCUCCCCUGAGCAGGAAGCCAGUUCUAGGUGGUUGCAACUGCCUCUUAUCAUGAAUGAUUGUUCUCUUCCCUUGGAAGAGUGAGUGGGAGAUGAUGCAAUCUCAGUGGU